rnacentral:rRNA from 1 species
CGGGGUGGAGUAAUGUCUGGGAAACUGCCUGAUGGAGGGGGAUAACUGCUGGAAACGGUAGCUAUACCGCAUAACGUCGCAAGACCAAAGAGGGGGACCUUCGGGCCUCUUGCCAUCGGAUGUGCCCAGAUGGGAUUAGCUAGUAGGUGGGGUAACGGCUCACCUAGGCGACGAUCCCUAGCUGGUCUGAGAGGAUGCCAGCCACACUGGAACUGAGACACGGUCCAG